GACCGUGCCGGGGAGAGGACUCGGAGGUUGCACCGGGGCGCAGCGGGAGUCGACGCGGGACCCGUGAGGCGGCGCUGGGGCCGGGAGCGCUGCCUGCCGCAGUCAUGGAGCCGAGCGCGGACCUGGCCUUGCUGAUUGCUGUGGUUGUCAUUGCCCUGUCAGCCUUGCUGUUAGUUUUCAAGGCUAGGAGAUCCCAGAGGAAGAGUGAUCCCAUUACAUUACAGGAGCCACACACUAAGUAUCCAUUGCCAUUGAUAAAGAAAGAGGAGAUCAGCCACGAUACCAGGAAAUUCAGGUUUGGGCUUCCAUCGCCGGAUCAUGUAUUAGGGCUACCUAUAGGCCAGCACGUUUACCUCUCUUCCAAAAUCAAUGGUAAUCUUGUCAUCCGGGCCUACACUCCAGUUUCCAGUGAUGAAGUAAAAGGUUAUGUUGACUUAAUUAUAAAGGUCUACUACAAAAAUGUCCAUCCCAAAUUCCCUGAAGGUGGGAAGAUGUCCCAGUACUUAGACAGCAUGACUGUUGGGGAUACCAUUGACUUCAGAGGGCCAAACGGGCUCCUUGUAUACAAGGGGACAGGUAACUUUGCUAUCAAGCCUGACAAGAAGUCUGAAGCACAGAGAAAGUUUGUAAAGCAUCUUGGGAUGAUAGCUGGAGGAACAGGAAUAACUCCGAUGUUGCAGCUGAUCCGUCACAUCACAAAGGAUCCUAAUGAUGAUACUAAGUGUUACCUCCUUUUUGCUAAUCAGACUGAAAAAGACAUAUUACUGAGAGCUGAGCUGGAAGAGGUAGCGAAGAAUCACCCUGAUCAAUUUAAGGUGCGGUAUACAUUGGACAGACCUCCUCAUGACUGGAAGUAUAGCUCUGGCUUCAUUACUGCAGAGAUGAUUAAAGCAUACCUCCCUCCUCCAGGCAGAGAUACUCUUAUUCUGAUGUGUGGGCCUCCACCUAUGAUUCAGUUUGCGUGUCAGCCCAAUCUGGAAAAACUUGGUUAUCUCAAAGAUAACACAUUCGCUUAUUAACACUGAUGCAAUGCAGUAAAAAUCCAUUGUGCUACAGCACUUUUAGAACAAUAUAUACACACUAAUUUACUGUGGGCAAAAGUCACCCCGUUCAGACGGUGAGCAGAAUCAGUGGAGACUAUGCACCACUUAGAUGCUGCGUUUACCUUGUAACUGGACAUUUCCUUUCAGUAAACAUGUCGAGCAUCAAACUACGGAGAAUUAUUUAAUCUGGCUUCUCUCUGGGACAGUCUGAGCUAAUGGAAGUUGUCAUAGCUCUACGGAAGUCACUGGAGCGAUGAUAAUUUACACCAGCAGAGGAUCUGCCCCUGUCUGGCUCUUGUGCGCUACAGAAGCUCUCACAAGGUCCAACAGCUCCCUUUUUCAGGGUUUGAAGUACUUUACACAGACUUUGUCAGGAAGGAGGCUGGACAGAGUUUUUAUGGAAACCUACUGUUUGUGUGUGAUGUGUAAACUAAAUUCCAUUACAGAGAGAAAGUGAUCACUACAUAUGUAACAAAAUGGAAGUAUUCUUUUAUUGUCUAAUUGAUAAUGUUCAUGUGUUUAUAUGCUUAAGCAUAAUUAUUUCAUAGAGUAUGUAAUACAUUUACAUGGUGCAAAUGAUGCACUCUUCAGUUUAACGUCUUAAAAUAUACAAUCCAGUUGUACUUACGAGAAUAAAAUACAAAUUGAUACCUCUGUA